UUGGGCGUGGUUACUGAGCGCCUCCUGGGCUUCCCCGGCGAUUUCGCGAGCUCUUGGCUUUAGGCGCACGGUGGUACUUUAAUCCCAGCACUCGAAGGAAGAGGCAGGAGGACCUUAUGAAUUUGAGAACAGUCAGAGUUCAAGGCAUGCCAGGGGCUACGUGGCAAGACCCUGCCUACAAAACAACCCCCACCCCCAACCAAAACAAGAUUUCAAGGUCCCAAGGAGCUUCAGGGAGGGAGGCAGCUUUGCGGUGCUGUCGCCAUGGAGAUGGAGGAUACAGGCAGGUCCUUUGGGAAAGAACCUCAGACUUUGGAUUUGUGCUGAAGGCAGAAUGACUUGGAUUCGUUCUCUGUCCAGUCCCUGGAACACAGAAGACGCUCAAUAAAUACUUGUUAAGGAAUUUCGCCCAGA